UGGCUCAGGACGAACGCUGGCGGCGUGCUUAACACAUGCAAGUCGAACGAUGAAGCCUUUCGGGGUGGAUUAGUGGCGAACGGGUGAGUAACACGUGGGCAAUCUGCCCUUCACUCUGGGACAAGCCCUGGAAACGGGGUCUAAUACCGGAUAACACUCUGUCCCGCAUGGGACGGGGUUAAAAGCUCCGGCGGUGAAGGAUGAGCCCGCGGCCUAUCAGCUUGUUGGUGGGGUGAUGGCCUACCAAGGCGACGACGGGUAGCCGGCCUGAGAGGGCGACCGGCCACACUGGGACUGAGACACGGCCCAGACUCCUACGGGAGGCAGCAGUGGGGAAUAUUGCACAAUGGGCGAAAGCCUGAUGCAGCGACGCCGCGUGAGGGAUGACGGCCUUCGGGUUGUAAACCUCUUUCAGCAGGGAAGAAGCGA
rnacentral:rRNA from 1 species